CGACCGGAUGCGGAUCUCGAAAGCCUGUCCCAGUUCGGACUGGAGUCUGCAACCCGACUCCACGAAGUUGGAUUCGCUAGUAAUCGCGCAUCAGCCAUGGCGCGGUGAAUACGUUCCCGGGCCUUGUACACACCGCCCGUCAAGCCAUGGGAGCCGGGGGUGCCUGAAGUUCGUGACCGCAAGGAGCGACCUAGGGCAAAACUGGUGACUGGGGCUAAGUCGUAACAAGGUAAC
rnacentral:rRNA from 1 species